rnacentral:rRNA from 1 species
UUAGCCCUAAACACAGAUAAUUACAUAAACAAAAUUAUUCGCCAGAGUACUACUAGCAACAGCUUAAAACUCAAAGGACUUGGCGGUGCUUUAUAUCCUUCUAGAGGAGCCUGUUCUAUAAUCGAUAAACCCCGAUAAACCUCACCAAUUCUUGCUAAUACAGUCUAUAUACCGCCAUCUUCAGCAAACCCUAAAAAGGAAAAAAAGUAAGCGUAAUUAUGAUACAUAAAAACGUUAGGUCAAGGUGUAACCUAUGAAAUGGGAAGAAAUGGGCUACAUUCUCUACACCAAGAGAAUCAAGCACGAAAGUUAUUAUAAAACCAAUAACCAAAGGA